UACGGGGGGUGCGAGCGUUGUCCGGAAUCACUGGGCGUAAAGGGUGCGUAGGCGGGUCUUUAAGUCAGGGGUGAAAUCCUGGAGCUCAACUCCAGAACUGCCUUUGAUACUGAAGAUCUUGAGUUCGGGAGAGGUGAGUGGAACUGCGAGUGUAGAGGUGAAAUUCGUAGAUAUUCGCAAGAACACCAGUGGCGAAGGCGGCUCACUGGCCCGAUACUGACGCUGAGGCACGAAAGCGUGGGGAGCAAACAGG
rnacentral:rRNA from 1 species